rnacentral:tRNA from 1 species
UCCCUGGUGGUCCAGUGGUUAGGACUCAGGGCUUUCACUGCUGUGGUCCAGGUUCAAUCCUUGGUCAGGAAA